UGGGGGGCUUCUUCCUCGCUCCCGGGGCCCCCUCCUCCGGUCGUUUUGCAGCUAGAAGACGGCCUGUUAGACGGAGCCUCGGCGGGCCUGGGCUGGAAGGGGGCGGGCCUGCCCUUCAGCCCCUCGCCUGGUCGACCCCGGAGAGUAUUUGAAGCUCGCGCUUCCUCCACCGCCCGAGCUGCAGACCCUUCUUCCCAGCGCGGCGCGACGGCCCCAAGUGGAUGGGCUGUCUCUGGUGAACACGUCCAACUCCAGAGGCUGUGACUCUGGGGACCUUCGUGACCCCAAGACAGGGUCACACACCCGUGGCAUUUGGUCGCCAAAUUCCAGGUACCCAGGAUCUGCCCACCCUCUGGAUCUUUACCAAAUUCCUUCUUUAGGAGACCUUGGCCUGGGUGAAACCACCUACUGCAAGAGGUGACACGAGGCGGGGGCGGGGGUGGUGGUGCUGGGGGGCUGCUGGAGGGAGGCACAAUAGCUGCCCUGGAAGGACAGGUACCCAAAUAGAAGGGCAGGCCCCUUCUUCUCACACACACCUCCCCCUCCACCCUCCCCCUCCCAAACCCCAGCUCCCUGCUACUUUUUAUAACCAGCUUUACUUGAGAUCCCACUACACAUUCAGAAAAUAAUCCCACCCACACAUCCUCUGCCCCAAGGUAGCUGGAACAAGAUGAAGGAGAAAGACAAAGGGAUGCCAUCACAUUCACUCUGCCCUCCACAGGCUGGGCACACAGUAGGCACACACACCUACAAUCAGUGAGGACCAGAAGGGUUGCAGACAGAUGCGUUCAGAGGCCACUGCGGGGCUGGGGGCAGGGUAGACAGAGGAGGGAUCCAGGGACACUUGGGCGGUAAAAUCCACCAGACCCUGUAGAUGGGGGAUUAGACGCGGAGCAUGACACCCUGGGCUUCUAACUGGUCCUGCUGGGUGGGUACUGGUGCCACCUAGGGAAAGGGGCAGGGAUGAGAGGAGGAGAUCACGGAGCUCAUGAGUUGGGUUUCAGCCACGAGAGCCGGAGGUCAAGGUUGGCAUGAGCGGAAGCCCAAGGGAUAGAUUUGUGGGCCAGAGGCUCUGGCAGCGCAGGAAGCCAAGCCCGUGAGGAGGGGCUACAGAGCUGAGCUGCAAGCAUCCCUUAGAGCCGUGGGUUUCCAGUUGCUCAACUUGACCUAGCAGAGCUGCGGCUUCUAGGACUGUGGCCAUCAGCCUCCUGGAAGCAUCUCCAUAUACACUGAAUAAAAGGAAAUGAAAUUGAAAAACACAGCUCCCUGGUGACACUAACCAUGUUUCAAGACGCUACUGUAUCAUUGCCAACAUCACGGAAGGUUCUAUGGGGACGGCCGGGCACUAGAAGACUGUGGAGUCCACCUGGGAGGGGGAUGAGCAGCAUUGGAAAAGACAGAUAACAGGGUCCAGGAGCUAGAAGAGGACACAGUCCUGGCCACCUAGAGCUUGGGGACUGGUACGAUCGAAGGGACGUGAGACAAGGACCCCCAUUCAACCGACUGGCUCCAAGCUGAGCCUUGGAGAGGUGGCUGGGGACAGGAGGAAAAGACGGAGCCCCCCGUGCAUUGCCAGGAUUUCUCUUUCCGUAUCCCAGCCUCCCUGCUCCCUGGGGCACACAGGUGGAUGGCGGAGGCAGCCAGUGAAGGCACCAACCGAGGGGCAGAACCUCCACAUGCCAUGGGCGCAGGCCAAAAGGAGAGAGUGAUGGAGGGAGGAAGAAACGCUGGGAGACACAACCUCCAAGUCUCAAGUGGAAACGGGGAGAGAGGCGUCAUGGGAGGGAGCAGCUCUCGAAGUCCCAGCUGGCCCCCCCUAGCUUCGCAAGGACAGCGCUACCUCUCCUCAACUCUAAGACACCAUCCACCACCUUACGGCGCACUUUUCCGUAUCACUCAGAAAGAGAAACCGCUGGCGAUUAAAUUUGCCGACACGAUAUCGUGAGCUUUUUCGGGCACACAGAGUUUGGGGAACUAUACGAUGGGCAGGCACACGCGCACCACCCAGCCUCUGCCGCUGACAUGUGGUUCUAUCGCACAUCGGUGCCUCGAGCCAUCCAUCAUUCCACCUUUUUUAAAAAAAAAUUAUUAAAUAGUUGAUUGACAAUGCA